AACCCCAACAAGCCACACAUUCAACACCUCACAUAACAAAACAACACCAACAGUUCAGCAUGGAGAUGUGGUUACUCAUCUUCCUCUCCAUCUCUUUCUCCAUAGCUUUGAAAUUUCUUAUCUCCAACCUCUUCCAAACACCAAACACCAAGAAGAAGAAACUCCCACCUGGUCCACCCACCAUACCUUUAUUCGGCAACCUCUUAUGGCUGAGAAAGUCCCUUUUCGAUAUCGAGCCUGUCCUUCGGGAGCUUCGAGCCAAGUAUGGUCCCAUCGUCACCCUCCAUAUUGGCUCACGGCCCGCCAUCUUCGUCGCCGAUCACUCCCUUGCCCACGAGGCACUCAUCCAGAAGGGAUCCAUCUUCUCUGAUCGGCCACCUGCCACGGUUCCAGGCCGCGUCAUUACUAGCAACCAACAUAACAUUAGUUCGGCUGGAUACGGUCCGCUAUGGCGCCUCCUUCGCCGUAACCUUUUGUCGGAAAUCCUCCAUCCUUCGCGUGUGAAGUCUUAUGCCCCUGGCCGCGAGUGGGUGCUCGAGAUUUUGAUCAAACAGCUUCGAUGCCAUGCUGAUGCGGGUGAGCCUGUCCGUGUGGUGGAGAGCUUCCAAUACGCCAUGUUCUGUUUGCUAUUGCUCAUGUGCUUUGGCCAGAGGCUAGAUGAGAGCGAAGUGAAAAAAAUCGAAGAUAUACAGCGGCGGAUGCUCACGAGUUUUAUUAGGUUCAACAUCUUUGCCUUCUUGCCGAAACUUGGAAAGUUCUUGUUCCGAAAGCGGUGGAACUGGCUCUUACAGAUGCGCAAGGAGCAAGAACAGCUCCUUAUCCCUCUGAUAAGAGCUCGUCGAGAUCGGAAAGUAGACGAUCAAGAUGAGAAGAGCUUUGUGUUUUCCUAUGUUGACUCGCUCCUCGCUCUCGAGCUUUCUGAGGAGGGAGGGAGGAAACUCACUGAAGAUGAGAUGGUGAGCCUCUGCUCGGAGUUUCUAAAUGCCGGGACUGACACGACCUCGACCUCACUGCAAUGGAUCAUGGCGAAUCUGGUGAAGCAUCAGGACAUACAAUCGAAGCUAGCAGAAGAGAUUGAGGCGGUUGUUGGGAAGGAGAGAGAAAUAAUAGAGGAAGAUCUGCAGAAGAUGCCAUAUCUGAAGGCAGUGAUCAUGGAGGGGCUGAGGAGGCACCCGCCGGGCCACUUCGUGCUGCCCCACUCUGUUUCGGAGGAGGUAACGUUGGAUGGGUAUGUCAUACCAAAGAACGCGACAAUCAAUUUCACAGUGGCGGAGAUAGGCCUAAACAAGGAGAUCUGGGAGGAUCCGAUGGAAUUCCGGCCAGAGAGGUUCUUGGACGGAGGUGAGGCCGUUGACAUAACAGGGAGUAGAGAGAUAAAGAUGAUGCCUUUCGGGGCGGGGAGACGGAUAUGCCCUGCUCAUGGCCUGGCUAUGCUUCAUCUCGAGUAUUUUGUGGCUAAUCUGGUGAGGGAAUUCGAAUGGAAGGCGAAGGAUGGUGAAGAUGUUGAUUUAACUGAGAAACUUGAAUUUACUGUUGUUAUGAAGAAUCCUUUGGAGGCUAAUAUCAUUUCAAGGAGAAAAUAAGGAUAGAGAAGAACAGAACAACAGAAAACAGAGAGUAUCAAAAGUACCCACAUGGGCAGCAGAGAGCUUUGGGCGAGCUUUUGAAGGCUUCUCCUCAAGUUAGCGAUAGUCUCCUGAUAGAUACAUAUGGCUUUACUCACGUGAGGAUUUAGAAGACCUCUAAUUUCUUAGUGCCGGUGGGCCUCCCUCAACCCUCAUACCCAUGAUAAAUAAUAUAGGAGCUCGCUGUCCUAUAGCAUGAAAAGCUCAAUGGAAUCUUUGCUGAUUAGAAGAUGUUUUAGCUCAGAAUUUGGAGGAGGUUUGGUUACCUUUAUUUUUAUUAAAUUCCUUAGCCAGGGCUGUAAUUUGAUAGAA